rnacentral:rRNA from 1 species
GACGAGGGGUCCUAGCGUUGUUCGGAAUCAUUGGGCGUAAAGCGUGUGUAGGCUGCCAUUCAAGUCAGUUGUGAAAUCCCCGGGCUCAACCCGGGAAGUGCUUCUGAUACUGUUUGGCUUGAGUACUGGAGAGGAUAGUAGAAUUCCUGGUGUAGUGAUGAAAUACGUAGAUAUCAGGAGGAAUACCGGUGGCGAAGGCGGCUAUCUGGCCAUGUACUGACGCUGAGACACGAAAGCCAGGGGAGCAAACGGG